GAAGCCGGUGUGACUUAGUGGCGGACGGGUGAGUAACGCGUGGGUAACCUGCCUUAUACUGGGGGAUAACAGUUAGAAAUGGCUGCUAAUACCCCAUAAGGCGCACGGCACCGCAUGAUGCAGUGUGGAAAGAUUUAUUGGUAUAAGAUGGACCCGCGUCUGAUUAGUAGUUGGUGAGGUAACGGCCCACCAAGACGACGAUCAGUAGCCGACUUGAGAGAGUGAUCGGCCACAUUGGGACUGAGACACGGCCCAGACUCCUACGGGAGGCAGCAGUAGGGAAUAUUGCACAAUGGGGGAAACCCUGAUGCAGCGAACCGCCGCGUGAGUGAUGAAGUAUUUCGGUAUGUAAAGCUCUAUCAGCAGGGAAGAUAAUGACGGUACCUGACUAAGAAGCCCCGGCUAACUACGUGCCAGCAGCAGC
rnacentral:rRNA from 1 species